rnacentral:rRNA from 1 species
AAAGGAAUUGACGGGGGCCCGCACAAGCGGUGGAGUAUGUUGUUUAAUUCGAAGCAACGCGAAGAACCUUACCAGGUUUUGACAUGGCUCUAAAUGCCUUAGAGAUAGGGAGAUAGCUAUAGAGCACACAGGUGGUGCAUGGUUGUCGUCAGCUCGUGUCGUGAGAUGUUGGGUUAAGUCCCGCAACGAGCGCAACCCUUGUCGUUAGUUACCAUCAUUCAGUUGGGGACUCUAGCGAGACUGCCGGUGACAAACCGGAGGAAGGUGGGGAUGACGUCAAAUCAUCAUGCCCCUUAUGACCUGGGCUACAAACGUACUACAAUGGCGAAAACAACGGGAAGCAAUGUGGUGACACAAAGCGAAACUCUUAAAAUUCGUCUCAGUUCGGAUCGAAGUCUGCAACUCGACUUCGUGAAGUUGGAAUCGCUAGUAAUCGCGGAUCAGCAUGCCGCGGUGAAUACGUUCUCGGGCCUUGCACACACCGCCCGU